ensembl:lncRNA
AGCAAAACACACCUUGCAGCGGCAGCAGCAGCAGCGCAGUCGUGUCUCAGGUGUCAAGAAGUGAGAGAACGAGUUCUGCCUGCAGCUGCAACCGAGAAUUAGUGGAUCCCAACACGGAGGCCUCUCCUCCCAUGAGACUCGCCACAUUAUGACAUCCAGCUAUCUGUAUCUACUGCUUUACUUACUGGGAAGCUGCUUAGGGCCAUCAGUCGCACAAAGGAAUGAAACCUGUUCUGCAAAAGAAACAUGUGGUCAGGGCCAGGAGCCGACCUCUCGCUUCCUGCAGUGCGUGGGACUGCCGUCGAGCGACGCGGGCGCGGACCACGCGAGGCGGCUGAAAGGAAUGCUGGCGGGGGCGAUGGACGUGUACAGCUUCAUGAGGUCCAGCACGAGGGGAGUGCCCCUCCUCAGCCUGCAGGGAGAGCUGGCUUUAAACCCCGCAGCAGACCCCCUCCAGAACGAAGCCCUGGUCCAGAUGUGGCUCCAGGUCAAGAUCAAACCGCUGCUGAAAUCCGUCUCCAGGCACUUCCUGUCCUGCCUCAGCACCAAGAACUUCAGCUGCGCCACCUACCAGACCGUGGUGAAGGAGCUCAGCCUCCAUUACUCCGAGAUGGAUCCGGUCAGACAAAAGUGGAUCUACUCAUUCUUCAUGUACCCCUUCCUGUCCGGGGACGGAGUAGCUGGUUGUGUGAGCCCACAGCAGAGCGGCGAGGAGUGGCUGAUGAAGAAUUUCGGCGCCUUCAGAGCCGAGGCCCGGAUGAAGGACUUCACAACGCUCAACCUGGUCUUCAGCGGGCUGGAGGUUCUCAGCCUGCUGUCGCCGGCGCAGAAGGCGGAGCUGCUGCUCAGGCCGGAGGUCAGCGGUUUAGACAACGGCUCCCUGAGCCUGGUCUUCCACAGCCUGCUAGCAGGGGGGCCCUCCUCCCACCGCCGGCCCCGGCCAGAACUGGACGAAUCCCAGCGAGGGGCACAACUUGACCGGCCCUGGAAACCACACGACUAA